UACGUAGGGACCGAGCGUUGUCCGGAAUCAUUGGGCGUAAAGAGCGUGUAGGCGGCCAAUUAAGUCCUGCGUGAAAUCUCGGGGCUCAACCCCGAGCGGUCGUGGGAAACUGGUUGGCUAGAGUGCGGGAGAGGAGAGUGGAAUUCCCGGUGUAGUGGUGAAAUGCGUAGAUAUCGGGAGGAACACCAGUGGCGAAGGCGACUACCUGGCCUGUUCUUGACGCUGAGGCGCGAAAGCUAGGGGAGCAAACGGG
rnacentral:rRNA from 1 species